rnacentral:rRNA from 1 species
AGCGAACGCUGGCGGCAGGCUUAACACAUGCAAGUCGAACGGGCAUCUUCGGAUGUCAGUGGCAGACGGGUGAGUAACACGUGGGAACGUACCCUUCGGUUCGGAAUAACUCAGGGAAACUUGAGCUAAUACCGGAUACGCCCUUUUGGGGAAAGGUUUACUGCCGAAGGAUCGGCCCGCGUCUGAUUAGCUUGUUGGUGGGGUAACGGCCUACCAAGGCGACGAUCAGUAGCUGGUCUGAGAGGAUGAUCAGCCACACUGGGACUGAGACACGGCCCAGACCCCUACGGGGGGGAGCAGGGGGGAAAAUUGGAAAAGGGGGGAAAGCCUGAUCCACCCUUGCCGGGGGAGUGAUAAAGGCUUUAGGGUUUAAAAGCUCUUUUGUCCGGGACGAUAAGGACGGUACCGGAAGAAUAAGCCCCGGCUAAUUUCGU